rnacentral:rRNA from 1 species
CAAAUUUUGAUCUGAAAUCAGGUAGGAUUACCCGCUGAACUUAAGCAUAUCAAUAAGCGGAGGAAAAGAAACUAACAAGGAUUCCCUCAGUAACGGCGAGUGAAGCGGGAAGAGCUCAAAUUUAAAAUCUGGUUUGCUUGCAAGCCCGAGUUGUAGUCUGAAGAAACGUUUUCCAUAAGCACUGAGGCAAAAGUCCCUUGGAACAGGGCAUCAUAGAGGGUGAGAAUCCCGUCCAUGGUCUCAAGUUGUUUAUUUUGUGAUACGUUUUCAAAGAGUCAGGUUGUUUGGGAAUGCAGCCUAAAAUGGGUGGUAAAUUUCAUCUAAAGCUAAAUAUUGGCGAGAGACCGAUAGCGAACAAGUACCGUGAGGGAAAGAUGAAAAGAACUUUGAAAAGAGAGUUAAACAGUACGUGAAAUUGUUGAAAGGGAACCGUUUGAAGCCAGUCUUACUUGCCUGUGAUCAAUUUUUGCCUCGGCAUGAAUGCACUCUCGGGUAUGGUAGGCCAACGACAGUUUGGAAUGCGAGAAAAAAAUAAGGGAAAUGUGGCCUUCGGGUGUUAUAGUCCCUUAUAAAAUAUCGUGUUCUGGACUGAGGAUCGCAGCAAAAACGUGGGCAGGUGGAUUUCUGUGGUAACUGUCGGUUAGGACAACUUGUUGACCUAGUCUUCCUUAGCCUCACUAUUUACCUCGCUUCUAAUUUGCUUAGGUCGUUGGCAUAAUGGCUUUAAAUGACCCGUCUUGAAACACGGACCAAGGAGUCUAACAUAUAUGCGAGUAUUUGGGUGGCAAACCCAUAUGCGCAAUGAAAGUGAAAUUAGGUGCCAAACCUUCACGGGUGGCAGCAUCGGCCGGCUCUGACGUUUUAACUGACGAGUCUGAGCAGAAGCAUACAUGUUGGGACCCGAAAGAUGGUGAACUAUGCCUGAAUAGGGUGAAGCCAGAGGAAACUCUGGUGGAGGCUCGUAGCGAUUCUGACGUGCAAAUCGAUCGUCAAAUUUGGGUAUAGGGGCGAAAGACUAAUCGAACCAUCUAGUAGCUGGUUCCUGCCGAAGUUUCCCUCAGGAUAGC